AGAAAAGCCCAACUCAACGGCACACCCUGCUGCUUUCCAGAAACUGCUCGUGCGAUCUCCAGAGCGCUGCCUCCCCCGUCCUCGCCGUCCCCGACGCCGCGCCGGCCGCGCCCCCAUCUUCCGUCGGCGGCUCCUACUCGAGGUGAAGGUGAAGCAGCAUAAUGGGUCGGAAGGCUGGUGCUUUGUACAUAAACCCAAAGAAGUUUGGUGCUGUUGCGAAGCCUUGCAUGGUAGAAAUGGUGGCCUUCCUUAACUGCCUGGCCUUAAACAAACAGGAAGAUGGCAAGUGUGUGAGGCAGAAGGAUCUCUUGGUUAUGUGCACUCAGACUCAGAAAGGGAAACCAAAGAACGCAGCGAAGACCAUCAAUUACCAUCUCCAGCGACUUGGGCGAGAUAAGUUCCUCUAGGUUCAACGGUUUUGGGAUCAUUUCCUCGUCACGCUUGCUGCCUUGAAUUAAGUGAGCGUCGAAAGAUAAAUUUUCUCUUCAAAGUAGCUUUACUGAAAUGGGGCAGUAAUGUGCUUGUUUAGGUUGGACAACUGGUCAGCCAAUAAUUCUAUGACAAACAGUAAUGUAUCAGCAGUAUAUUGAUAUGGUUUUGUUCCUUGCUAUUAAGGCACUUUGUUGCUAUGUGUUCAUGGUAUACUGCCAAUUGGAAGUGUUUUUGACUGCUUUGUAAGUGGCACUGUUGCUUCCCAGCUUGUGAAUUGUGGUUUGACCGUUUUGAGUC